rnacentral:tRNA from 1 species
GGAGGGUACAGCUCAGUGGUAGAGUGCAUGCCUAGCAUGCACAAGGUCCUGGGUUCAAUCCCCAGUCGUUCCA